UGAGGCUCGAGUCGCGGCGCCUGGGGCGGUGGCCGCCGGACCAAAGCUGGCCUCUCCCGGCUCCUCCUCCUCGCUCCCCAAGGCCUUUCCCACCGCGUCAUUGUCUCGGUUUAUCUGCAGAUACGUCUACCUAGCAGUCAGCCCAGCAGCGUAAGUGGUGACCAGUGUGGGCCUCUUUGAUCCUGAGACCGAAGGCUCGGCCACUGGCCCUCUCCAUUUGUUCCUUGUUGCCCUCCCUUCAUGAUUCAAUCCAUUAAUUAGGACUUUUCCUACCAGCUGGCAGUUCAGAGCUCCGCAUCCCCAGGCCUCUGAGUCACAGUUCCUGCCUUCAUGAAACUAGGAGUUGGGGCCACUGCAUUCUACUCCUUCGGGACUAUUGUUUCAUUUCUCAGUCCCUCAAACCCUUUAUUGGAUGAACAUGGGGUUAGGACAGCGGUUCUCCACUGCAACAGUUUUGCCUCCCAGGAGACAUUUGGCAAUGUAUGAAUCAUUUUCAGCCUCUCAUCUGGGGUGAGAUGUCAUUGGAAUCUACAGAUGGUGGAGGGCACAGGCUAUUUUCUGAUCGGUUUCUGAAACCUGAAAAUGGAAUUAGCAGAAGAACUAUCCUGAACGAAUAUGUGACCACAGAGUAGGAUCCUCUUGAGCCCCAAAUGAGAUAUAACUAUUACCAUAAUCAAGAGUUGACUGGAGGUAAAGAACACUACAAUCCCAGUGUUCUAGUGACAAAGCCACUAAAGAAGCUGGUUCUGACCUACUGUAAGCAAGCCAUGCAGACUCAGCAGACCAGAAAACGUCUUUCUCCUGCUUUUCAGGCUACUUGCUCAUACCAUUUACCUAUACCACUUAGUUGCUCAUCUAUUAAACUUAGAGGACUUUUCCCUCUUUCAUUUCAUAGCCAGGCAGACUGCCCAAGACACCCUUGGGGAAACCUACUAUUUUUUUCUGUCUACCACGGUGUUUCGAACUUCUCACACUUCUGAGAAUCCUCCUCCUUCUCAGUAGACAACCAUGGAUUCUACUGCAGAAAACACAGAAGCCAUCAGAUUCAAACUCUUUCACCUUCACGCCAACCCAUCUAUAAGCCUUCUUAAAUUUGUACCCAGAUGGGCCUCCUGUCUUUGUGUUAACAUGAAAAAGUGUCUCUUCCUGUCUAUCUAAAGCCAAUCCCACCUCCUACGCUCUGCUGCCCUUCCCAUCUUCUAGGAACCGUGUGCUUCUUUCCUUACAUUGGCUCUCCAGGUGUCUCAUCCAUUCUCAUAGCUUUAAAAGACACUUAUUUUCGUCACUGGUGUCAGCAGCCCAACCUUCUACUCAGACGCCAGCCUAUACACCCUACUGCCUAUCUCACAUCUCUUCUUGAUGUCCCACAGAUAACUCAAUUUAUCUAAAAUGUAACCCAAUUUUUUUUCUUAUCCCUACUCUUAUUAUACUAACUAGCACCAACCGUCAACCCAGUUGCUCAAGCUAGGAAUCUGAAAGUCAUUGAUUUUCGCUUUCCCUCAUUCCUUACAUUUAUCAGCAAACUGUCAAAUCCACUUCCAAAAAUCUCCACUCCAGUCUCCACUGGCACCACCCUAUUUCAAGCUGCCAUCAUCUCUUGCACUGACUACUGCCACAGCCUCCUAACUGGUCUCCUUCAUUCCAUUCAGCACUUUGCAUACAACAGCCAGAGUCAUCUUUUCAGCGCUUUCAUGCCAUUCCCCUGCUGAAAAUCCUUUGCAACUGCUUCUAACUGCACUUAAAUAAAAUCCAAAUGCCGUAUCAGGUCUACAAAGCCCCACACAAUACAGCCUAUCUACUCCUCCAAAUUUAUCCUGUGCUACUCUUCCUUUGCUCCAGCCACACUGGCCUUUUUUAGUUCUAAGAAUCAUAUAACUAAGCUCUUUCCUGCCGCAGUGCCCUUGUACAUGCUACUCCACUCCUGGAAUGUCUAACUCUCUCUCAUCUUUCAGGUUUUAGCAUUAAUUCCAUAUUCUCAGAGAAGCCUUUUUUAGCUACCCUAGCCCUCCAAUGUCCUAUGUCCCCCCAUACUGUUGUAUUUCAGUAUCCUGUGAUAUCACUGAUCAAAAUUUAUAUUCAUUUUGUUUGUUGUUGGUGGGUGGGGGAGGAGGGUGCUAUCUUUCUUUCCUAAUAGAUUAUAAACUGUCUAAGAAGACAAAGGCAAUGUCUAUUUUGAUCACCAUUGUAUUUUCAGCACCUAGCACAGUGCUGGGCAGGCAAGAAAUAUUUAACAAAUGAAUUAAUCCUCCUUUUGAAAAUUUUAAAGAUCUCUCAUUACUCAAAACAAUCUCAACAAGAAACUUAUUUUUAAACCAUCAAUAAAAGCAAAUACAAGUUUUACUAAUUUAUAAUUAGUAAAAUUAUAAUUUACUAAUACAAGUUGUAUGUCUGAAGAAUCCAUUUUAUCUUCAACUUCAGAAUUAAAAUAUACUUCAAUACUAACUAGAAGAGUGGCAGAGAUUCCCCUAGAAAAAGGAAAUAAAACUGAACAGACAUCCUGUUCUCUCUCA
rnacentral:lncRNA from 1 species